rnacentral:lncRNA from 1 species
GGCCAGAUAACUAUGAAGUCCGCAAUGGUGUGUGACUCACUAGAAUAACACGACGAUUUGGACCCUAUUUAACGUUAACUGUAUGGUCUUUCUUUCUUCGAUGGAAAUAAUGUGAUGUGACUAAAAUAACUGCAUCCAUCAUGCUUGUUUUUCCAAUCAAAUGAAAUCAACUUCGUACGUUUUGUCACGUAACCUUACUUUUAACACCUGGUACCCAGGUAUAAGUAUAGAACCCAAUCAAUCCUUGAUCUCAGGAAACUCAAAAAAAAAGUCCUUGAACUCACACUGAAAUAAACCAAGGUUUCCCCCGCCACCGAACCUAUGCUUCUGGUCUUUCACUGUGGAUGUUGUUAACUUGUUAUCUUCCC